CAGUAGCCACGGUAAUACAGAGGGUGCGAGCGUUAAUCGGAUUACUGGGCGUAAAGCGUGCGUAGGCGGCUUCUUAAGUCGGAUGUGAAAUCCCUGAGCUUAACUUAGGAAUUGCAUUCGAUACUGGGAAGCUAGAGUAUGGGAGAGGAUGGUAGAAUUCCAGGUGUAGCGGUGAAAUGCGUAGAGAUCUGGAGGAAUACCGAUGGCGAAGGCAGCCAUCUGGCCUAAUACUGACGCUGAGGUACGAAAGCAUGGGGAGCAAACAGGAUUAGAUACCCCGGUAGUCCCUGUCUCUUAUACA
rnacentral:rRNA from 1 species